rnacentral:tRNA from 1 species
UUUAAGUAGCUUAAUUUAAAGCAUGACAUUGAAGUUGUUGGGAUGAGGAUUUUCCUCCUUGAAC